CCUACGGGAGGCAGCAGUAGGGAAUAUUGCUCAAUGGGGGAAACCCUGAAGCAGCAACGCCGCGUGGAGGAUGAAGGUUUUCGGAUUGUAACCUCCUUUUGUUGGAGAAGUUAAUGACGGUAUCUAACGAAUAAGCACCGGCUAACUCCGUGCCAGCAGCCGCGGUAAUACGGAGGGUGCAAGCGUUACUCGGAAUCACUGGGCGUAAAGGGCGCGUAGGCGGGAUAGCAAGUCAGAUGUGAAAUCCUAUGGCUUAACCAUAGAACUGCAUUUGAAACUGUUAUUCUAGAGUAUGGGAGAGGUAGGUGGAAUUCUUGGUGUAGGGGUAAAAUCCGUAGAGAUCAAGAGGAAUACUCAUUGCGAAGGCGACCUGCUAGAACAUAACUGACGCUGAUGCGCGAAAGCGUGGGGAGCAAACAGGAUUAGAUACCCCGGUAGUC
rnacentral:rRNA from 1 species